GAUGAACGCUGGCGGCGUGCCUAAUACAUGCAAGUCGAGCGAACAGAUAAGGAGCUUGCUCCUUUGACGUUAGCGGCGGACGGGUGAGUAACACGUGGGUAACCUACCUAUAAGACUGGGAUAACUUCGGGAAACCGGAGCUAAUACCGGAUAACAUUUGGAACCGCAUGGUUCUAAAGUGAAAGAUGGUUUUGCUGUCACUUAUAGAUGGACCCGCGCCGUAUUAGCUAGUUGGUAAGGUAACGGCUUACCAAGGCGACGAUACGUAGCCGACCUGAGAGGGUGAUCGGCCACACUGGAACUGAGACACGGUCCAGACUCCUACGGGAGGCAGCAGUAGGGAAUCUUCCGCAAUGGGCGAAAGCCUGACGGAGCAACGCCGCGUGAGUGAUGAAGGUCUUCGGAUCGUAAAACUCUGUUAUUAGGGAAGAACAAAUGUGUAAGUAACUGUGCACGUCUUGACGGUACCUAAUCAGAAAGCCACGGCUAACUACGUG
rnacentral:rRNA from 1 species